GAUGAACGCUGGCGGCGUGCUUAACACAUGCAAGUCGAACGAUGAAGCCCAGCUUGCUGGGUGGAUUAGUGGCGAACGGGUGAGUAACACGUGAGUAACCUGCCCUUCACUCUGGGAUAAGCCUGGUAAACUGGGUCUAAUACCGGAUAGGAGCGUCCACCGCAUGGUGGGUGUUGGAAAGAUUUAUCGGUUUUGGAUGGACUCGCGGCCUAUCCGCUUGUUGGUGAGGUAAUGGCUCACCAAGGCGACGACGGGUCGCCGGCCUGGGAGGGUGACCGGCCACACGGGGACUGAGACACGGCCCAGACUGCUACGGGAGGCAGCAGUGGGGAAUAUUGCACAAUGGGCGCAAGCCUGAUGCAGCGACGCCGCGUGAGGGAUGACGGCCUUCGGGUUGUAAACCUCUGUCAGUAGGGAAGAAGCGAAAGUGACGGUACCUGCAGAAGAAGCACCGGCUAACUACGUG
rnacentral:rRNA from 1 species